rnacentral:rRNA from 1 species
ACGACRGGUAGCCGGCSUGAGAGGGUGMCCGSCCACACUGGGACUGAGACACGGCCCAGACUCCUACGGGAGGCAGCAGUGGGGAAUAUUGCACAAUGGGCGCAAGCCUGAUGCAGCGACGCCGCGUGAGGGAUGACGGCCUUCGGGUUGUAAACCUCUUUCAGUAGGGAAGAAGCGAAAGUGACGGUACCUGCAGAAGAAGCGCCGGCUAACUACGUGCCAGCAGCCGCGGUAAUACGUAGGGCGCAAGCGUUAUCCGGAAUUAUUGGGCGUAAAGAGCUCGUAGGCGGUUUGUCGCGUCUGCUGUGAAAGACCGGGGCUCAACUCCGGUUCUGCAGUGGGUACGGGCAGACUAGAGUGCAGUAGGGGAGACUGGAAUUCCUGGUGUAGCGGUGAAAUGCGCAGAURUCAGGAGGAACACCGAUGGCGAAGGCAGGUCUCUGGGCUGAACGACGCUGMGAGCGAA